rnacentral:rRNA from 1 species
GACGAACGCUGGCGGCGUGCUUAACACAUGCCAGUCGAACGGAAAGGCCCUGCUUUUGUGGGUUGCUCGAGUGGCGAACGGGGGUGUAACACGCGUGUAACCUGCCCUUGACUUUGGGAUAACUUCAGGAAACUGGGGCUAAUACCGGAUAGGAGCUCCUGCUGCAUGGUGGGGGUUGGAAAGUUUCGGCCGUUGGGGAUGGACUCGCUGGUUAUCAGCUUGUUUGUGGGGUAGUGGCUUACCAAGGCUUUGACGGGUAGCCGGCCUGAGAGGGUGGCCGGGGACAAGAGGACUGAGAUACGGACCAGACGGCUAUGGGAGGCAGCAGGGGGGAGUAUUGCACAGCGGGCGGACGUGAGAUGUGGCGACGCCGCGUGCGGGAUGACGUCCUUCGGGUUGUAAACCGCUGUGGCAGGUGACGAAGCGGGAGUGACGGUAAUGGGUAAAGAAGCACCGGCUAACUACGUG